rnacentral:rRNA from 1 species
UACGGAGGUUGCAAGCGUUGUUCGGAAUAACUGGGCGUAAAGGGGGCGCAGGCGGCUUGGUAAGUCUGAAGUGAAAUCCCGGGGCUCAACCCCGGAACUGCUUUGGAUACUGCCGAGCUUGAGUACGUGAGAGGAGAGUGGAAUUCCAGGUGUAGCGGUGAAAUGCGUAGAUAUCUGGAGGAACACCGGUGGCGAAAGCGGCUCUCUGGCACGUUACUGACGCUCAGGCCCGAAAGCAUGGGGAGCAAACGGG